UCAAUAAGCGGAGGAAAAGAAACUAACAAGGAYUCCCCUAGUAACUGCGAGUGAAGCGGGAAAAGCUCAAAUUUAAAAUCUGGCAGCUUUGGCUGUCCGAGUUGUAUUCUGGAGAAGCGUUUUCUGUGCUGGACCGUGUACAAGUCUCUUGGAACAGAGCGUCAUAGAGGGUGAGAAUCCCGUCUUUGACACGGACUACCAGUGCUUUAUGAUGCGCUCUCAAUGAGUCGAGUUGUUUGGGAAUGCAGCUCAAAAUGGGUGGUAAAUUCCAUCUAAAGCUAAAUAUUGGCGAGAGACCGAUAGCGAACAAGUACCGUGAGGGAAAGAUGAAAAGCACUUUGGAAAGAAAGUUAAACAGUACGUGAAAUUGCUGAAAGGGAAACGCUUGAAGUCAGUCGCGUUUGCUAGUACUCAACCUGUCUUCUGACUGGUGCACUUACUAGUACACGGGCCAGCAUCAGUUUUGGCUGCGGGAAAAAGGUUGGAGGAAUGUGGCACCUUCGGGUGUGUUAUAGCCUCUGGUCAUAUACCGUGGCUGGGACUGAGGAUCUCAGCACGCCUUUAUGGCGGGGGUUCGCCCACCUUCGUGCUUAGGAUGCUGGCGUAAUGGCUUUAAACGACCCGUCUUGAA
rnacentral:rRNA from 1 species